UAGGGAAUCUUCCGCAAUGGACGAAAGUCUGACGGAGCAACGCCGCGUGAGUGAUGAAGGUUUUCGGAUCGUAAAACUCUGUUGUUAGGGAAGAACAAGUGGGGUAGUAACUGACCCAACCUUGACGGUACCUAACCAGAAAGCCACGGCUAACUACGUGCCAGCAGCCGCGGUAAUACGUAGGUGGCAAGCGUUGUCCGGAAUUAUUGGGAGUAAAGCGCGCGCAGGCGGUUUUUUAAGUCUGAUGUGAAAGCCCACGGCUUAACCGUGGAUGGUCAUUGGAAACUGGGGGACUUGAGUACAGAAGAGGAGAGUGGGAUUGCCCGUGUAGCGGUGAAAUUCGUAGAGAUGUGGAGGAACACCAGUGGCGAAGGCGACUCUCUGGUCUGGAACUGACACUGAGGAGCGAAAGGGUGGGUGGCGAACAGG
rnacentral:rRNA from 1 species